GGAUCCAAAAAGAAGCAAAUGGAGGCAACCAAGGAAAUCUUCUUCCCAGAUAGACCUGAGGUCACACAGGCCUUUCUUCCAACUAAGGAACAUCAAGUCCUCUGAUGGACUGAACUAGCUAGAGCUGGAGAUUUGAAGGUCUCUGUCCCUAAGGGUGGAGCUCGACCUCGUGAUCCAUUGAAAAUCACCUAUGCUCUAAGGAGGUUUCAUCCAUCAUAUGAUUGGGACCCCAUCUGCAUGGGUUACAACUCCUUGGUCC
rnacentral:lncRNA from 1 species